UGAUGUUUGUGCAGGAAUAGAAACCG
rnacentral:piRNA from 1 species